GAACGCACAUUGCGCCCGCCAGCACUCUGGCGGGCAUGCCUGUCCGAGCGUCAUUUCAACCCUCAGCCCCCCCGGGGCCUGGUGUUGGGGAUCGACCCGCCCUGGCGCGGCGCCGUCCCCGAAAUACAGUGGCGGUCUCGCUGCAGCCUCCCCUGCGUAGUAGCACACCUCGCAUCGGAGAGCGGCGCGGCCACGCCGUGAAACCCCAACUUCUGAUAGUUGACCUCGGAUCAGGUAGGAAUACCCGCUGAACUUA
rnacentral:misc_RNA from 1 species